GCCGCGUUGGCGUAGCGGUAGCGCGUCUCACUUGUAUACCCUGGAUGGCGUAUAAGAAUUCAUUAUGCCAUGAGAAGGUCACUCGUUCAAUCCGGGUACGCGGCA
rnacentral:tRNA from 1 species